GAUUUCUGGUGGUCUUCAUGUUCCAGCGCAGCCGCUCUCUUCGCUGCACUUUUCCACGCUGCACAUGUCCAGUGCAGCCAUUUUCUUCGUUGCAUCUGUCCAGCGCAGCCAUUUUCUUCGCUGCAUCUGUCCAGCGCAGCCACUCUUUACUCUGCCCAAGGCCGCAAACCCACCUUUUCACCGCCUCUCACGAAGAUUCAGUUUUUCAUUGCCGAUAAUCAGGGACGUUUUCU
rnacentral:lncRNA from 1 species